AGAAUGAACGUUGGCGGCGUGGAUUAGGCAUGCAAGUCGUACGGGCCGCAAGGCCAGUGGCGCAAGGGUGAGUAAGGCGACGGUAACCAACCCCAUGACUGGGUAUAGCCGCGGGAAACUGCGGGUAAUCCCCAGCGACGUCCCGGGGGGGCAUCCCCUGGGGACCAAAGCUCCGGCGUCGUGGGACGGGCCGUCGUGGUAUUAGGUUGUUGGCGGGGUAAUGGCCCACCAAGCCUGCGAUGCCUACCGGGCGUGCGAGCGUGGCCCGGCACACUGGGACUGAGACACUGCCCAGACUCCUACGGGAGGCUGCAGUCGAGAAUCUUCGGCAAUGGGCGCAAGCCUGACCGAGCGACGCCGCGUGGAGGAUGAAGGCCUUCGGGUUGUAAACUCCUGUCGAGGGGAAGAAGGCUUCGCAAGAAGCUUGACUUAUCCCUGGAGGAAGCACGGGCUAAGUUCGUGCCAGCAGCCGC
rnacentral:rRNA from 1 species